GAUGAACGUUGGCGGUGUGCCUAAUACAUGCAAGUCGAACGGAGACUGUAGCAAUACUGUCUUAGUGGCGAACGGGUGAGUAACGCGUUGGUGAUCUGCCUCGAAGUGGGGAAUAACGUUCCGAAAGGAACGCUAAUACCGCAUAGUCUCUCUAUGAUUAGAAAGUAGAGAGUAAAGGAUUUAUUCGCUUCGAGAGGAGCCUGCGUCCCAUCAGCUAGUUGGUAGGGUAACGGCCUACCAAGGCAAUGACGGGUAGGGGACCUGAGAGGGUGGCCCCCCACAAUGGAACUGAAACACGGUCCAUACACCUACGGGUGGCAGCAGUAGGGAAUAUUAGUAAUGGGCGAAAGCCUGAACUAGCAACGCCGCGUGUGCGAAGAAGGCCUUCGGGUCGUAAAGCACUUUUUGAGAGGAUGAGGAAGGACGGUACUCUCAGAAUAAGUCUCGGCUAACUACGUGCCAGCAGCCGCGGUAAAAUCAACGUGUA
rnacentral:rRNA from 1 species